CUACAUUUAACAUCAGUACUAAUAAAGCUACUACAGCUACAACCAUUACUAAUAAAGCUACUACAUUUAACGUCAUUACUAAUAAAGCUAAUGCAUCUAACACCAUCACUAAUAAAGCUAUUUCAUCUACAACCAUUACUAAUAAAGCUACUACAUUUAACGUCAUUACUAAUAAAGCUAUUACAUCUAACACCAUCACUGAUAAAGCUAUUUCAUCUACAACCGUUACUAAUAAAGCUACUACAUCUAACAUCAUUACUAAUAAAGGUACUACAUCUAUCAUCAUUACUAAUGAAGCUAUUUCUAACAUCAUCACUAAUAAAGCUACCACAUCUAAGAUCAUGACUAAUAAAGCUACCAAAUCUAAGAUCAUGACUAAUAAAGCUACUACAUCUAUCAUCAUUACUAAUAAAGCUAUAUCUAACAUCAUCACUUAUUAAGCUACUACAUCUAAGAUCAUCACUAAUAAAGCUACUAUAUUUAACAUCAUCACUAAUAAAGCUACUACAUUUUUCGUCAUCACUAAUAAAGCUACUACAUCUAUCAUUACUAAUAAAGUUACUACAUCUAUCAUCAUUACUAAUAAAGCCAUCACAUCUAAGAUCAUCACUAAUAAAGUUACUACAUUUAACAUCAUUAGUAUUAAAGUUAUUACAUCUAACAUGAUUACUAAUAAAGCUACUACAUCUAUCAUCAUCACUAAUAAAGCUACUACAUCUAAGAUCAUUGCUAAUAAAGGUACUUCUAACGUCCCUUACUAUUGAAGUUAUUGCAUCUCUCAUCAUUACUAAUAAAGCUACUACAUCUAUCAUCAUCACCAGUGCUGCUACCACAUUUACUGUUGCAGCUGUCUUUACUUCCUGCAGUUUAUAUCUCAUACAUUUUCUGCAGCCAGAGCACAUUAUAGGUUCUUAUGAAGACCACCGAUGUCAAUGCACUGCCUUCCAAAACACCCCUAAUGCGGCUUCUCCAGUGUGAGCGCUUCCCAUGUAGCCGUGAAUAGCAUCGCCUGAAGUGUUCCUGCAACAUGACAGCUGCUGCUAAGUAGAGGCAUUAACAUUCCCUUUUUAUCAUCACGGCUACCAUCAGUGCUACAAGAGGAAAUGCUGCUACUACUACUGCUAUACAACCGCAUUCAUUAGCAGUGUGUUGCUGACUAGAUGCACAGUGAUGAUAAUAAUAAUAAUAAUAAUAAUAAUAAUUCAGGCAGCACGGUGGUGCAGUGGGUAGCACUGUCGCCUCAGAGCAAGAAGGUUGUGGGUUCGAAUCUCGGCUUGGGGCCUUUCUGUGUGGAGUUUGCAUGUUCUCCCCGUAUCUGCAUGGGUUUCCUCUGGGUACUCUGGUUUCCUCCCACAGUCCAAAGACAUGCAGGUAGGCCAAUUGAAGACCCUAAAUUGCCCGUAUGUAUGAGUGCGUGACUGAAUGGUGUGUGUGCCCUGCGAUAGAUUGGCUAGGGUGUAUUCCUGCCUCUCGCCCAAUGCACACUGGGAUAGGCUCCCGCACCCCCGCGACCCUGCUCAGGAUAAGCGGGUAUAGAUAAUGGAUGGAUAUAAUAAUAAUAAUAAUAAUAAUCAUAAUAAUAAUAAUAAUAAUAAUGUAAUUAAUCUGACCAAUGACGGGCAGUUUGUUGAGUGGUCUUUGGGGUCUGAUUGGCCAGCUUUUCUCUCAUGGACCAAUAAACUUCUGUAAGUCUGCACACUGGUGGUGUGACCUCGCUCUCUCCCACUUACCCUGGCCGAACUCCCUCGGGACGGGGCCGGGUUCCCAGAGAGACGAACGAAGGGAGCGGUUUUUCGGCGUCUGAUGCCGACGCUCGUCCUCUUAAAAGCCGGCGGGCUGACUCAGAGCGUAAUGACACGGCUUCGGACUGAGUGUUCUCCGAACAGCAGGCCUGGCGGCCGAGCACCUGGCGCGCGUUCCACUUUUUUUGGCGCUAGUCACAGACGCACGGCUCACCGAGCCCAGCUUCCCCCCCUUACAGCUAUUAUCGCGGGUCUCGGAACCGAAAGGCAAGUGUGGAACCAGGGCUAGAGAAGAAGACAAUGGUGCACACUCUUAAUUCUUAUGAGUUUCAUGAGGCUGAAAGGUAAGAAUCAGACUGUGAAAGGAGAUCGGAGGACAACGCCGCUGCCAAGGACAAUAACUUUGACCGCUACAGUGAUGAGAGCAAUAGUGGCGCUUGUUUGGUUCGAAUAAAAGAAAUGUAAGGCU